rnacentral:rRNA from 1 species
GACGAACGCUGGCGGCGUGCUUAACACAUGCAAGUCGAACGAAGUGGCGAACGGGUGAGUAACGCGUAAUCAACCUGCCCUUCAGAGGGGGACAACAGUUGGAAACGACUGCGAAUACCGCAUACUGAAGGAGGGGAUUGCGUCUGAUUAGCGAGUUGGAGGGGUAACGGCCAACCAAGGCGAUGAUCAGUAGCCGGGCUGAGAGGAGGAGCGGCCACAUUGGGACUGGUCAACGUCCCAUGUUCCUACGGUAGGCAGCAGUGGGGAAUUUUCCGCAAUGGACGAAAGUCUGACUGAGCAACGCCGCGUGAGUUAUGACGGCCUUCGGGUUGUAAAGCUCUGUUAAUCGGGACGCGGUACCGGAAUAGAAAGCCACGGCUAACUCCGUGCCAGCAGCCGCGGUAAUUC